GGCUGUCAAAUACCCUGGCUAGAUUUUUUGGACAAGGUGUGGUCAUUGAUCACCUGCCUGCGUUGUGAGGGUGCGUUUGCCGGUGGUUUUGUGUGGCCAGGACUCACACAGUGCAUUUUUCUAGCCUCCUGCUCCCCCUUUGCUGCUGUUUGCACUUCUGUGAUGCACACUUGUCUCUGUUCUCCAUCUGAUCUUGCAGCGAGCAACGUGAGAGGCCUUGGGCUCAGCGUGUGUGCUCCGCAGAGCUCAGCUGCACCUUGAGAAGGUGAGGGGACAAAAUUCGAUCUCCACCACUUGCGUCACGUGCUGAGAUUGACUGGAGGGCAGCUGCCGCAGCCGCUAAUAACUGCAUCCCACCGGUGUGCUGCGCAGGUCUCGCUGUCUCUGGCUGUGCUCCCAGUGCUGAGAGAGGAGGAGGAGGUGAGGAGCAUCCAGACCAUGGGAGAGGUAAUUCCUGGGCUCAUGGAGCUGCUUGGGACUGACAUGGCCUCGCUGGGCAUCACCGUACCCCAUCCAUCUCCCAUCCAGCCUGCCCUGCCACCCCAAGCAGAGGGAGCAGGACUCCACGCGAAGCCGCUGGAGAUGGGCAGGUCUUCAGGAACUUUGCAGCUCCUCCCCAAGCCCCCGUGUCCUUCCUCUUCGCCCCCCUCUCCCUCGGUGGGGACCUAGUUUGCCUUGCAAAGUGGUCUCAUUAUAAAUGCAUCAGCCUCUGCCGGUCUCACGCGCGCUGCCUUCAUUUAGCCCUCCGAGCUCGAUUACAUCUGAGGAUGUCUUGGGGUGUCUCCUGACCAGAGCAGAGCUUGGAUGGAGAAAUCCACCCCGCUUCAUGCGCAUCGUCUCCCGAGGGCCGUGUUUGUCCCCCUCCUGCCUUGCUGGAGAGCAUGCCAAGGAGGUAGCUGGAAGGAGAGAUGCUGAUCUGAGUUUUUUGGUCUGCGCCUGUGCUCAGCACACAGGAGGGAGGAUUAGUCACAGUUCACGCUGUCAUAAUAAAUUAAGGUGUAAGGACAACAAUAUAAUAGAAGUAAAGCACGUGCAAAAUAUUCUGCAUUUGUGGUAA
rnacentral:lncRNA from 1 species